GAACGGUAUCGUAAUACCUGAUGACUUUGGUCGCCCGUGGCGUCCUAGCCGUUUCUGAAAUGAAACGGGAACAAGAAAUCAGACUGAAAUCCGAGCUCAGGUUGAGCCGUUCA
rnacentral:sRNA from 12 species